AUUGAACGCUGGCGGCAGGCUUAACACAUGCAAGUCGAGCGGAGAUGAGGUGCUUGCACCUUAUCUUAGCGGCGGACGGGUGAGUAAUGCUUAGGAAUCUGCCUAUUAGUGGGGGACAACAUUCCGAAAAGAAUGCUAAUACCGCAUACGUCCUACGGGAGAAAGCAGGGGAUCUUCGGACCUUGCGCUAAUAGAUGAGCCUAAGUCGGAUUAGCUAGUUGGUGGGGUAAAGGCCUACCAAGGCGACGAUCUGUAGCGGGUCUGAGAGGAUGAUCCGCCACACUGGGACUGAGACACGGCCCAGACUCCUACGGGAGGCAGCAGUGGGGAAUAUUGGACAAUGGGGGGAACCCUGAUCCAGCCAUGCCGCGUGUGUGAAGAAGGCCUUAUGGUUGUAAAGCACUUUAAGCGAGGAGGAGGCUACUGAGACUAAUACUCUUGGAUAGUGGACGUUACUCGCAGAAUAAGCACCGGCUAACUCUGCGCCAGCCGCCGCCGUAA
rnacentral:rRNA from 1 species